rnacentral:lncRNA from 1 species
UAAUACAAUUUUUUGCUUAUAAAAAAAAAUACGAAAAUGAAAAACAAAAAUAAAAAGGGAAAUUAUUGGAGCAUCCUGAAUCCUAAAUAUAUUGACAAAAAUCAUACAUUUUUUCCAUUAAAAUAUAAUAAAUACUAAAACACACUAGACAAUUUGAAUGCAAUUGACAAAUAGUUUCAAUAACAAAACAACCCUUAUAGUAUGUUCUUUCUUUAUUCAAACGACCAUUAAACAUUGUUAUUUGGCAUCACUCUACAUAACAAACAAGAGAGAAGUGAAGCACAUUAUUGCUCCAACCAAAC